UGCGCUAAUAGAUGAGCCUAAGUCGGAUUAGCUAGUUGGUGGGGUAAAGGCCUACCAAGGCGACGAUCUGUAGCGGGUCUGAGAGGAUGAUCCGCCACACUGGGACUGAGACACGGCCCAGACUCCUACGGGAGGCAGCAGUGGGGAAUAUUGGACAAUGGGCGCAAGCCUGAUCCAGCCAUGCCGCGUGUGUGAAGAAGGCCUUUUGGUUGUAAAGCACUUUAAGCGAGGAGGAGGCUCCUUUAGUUAAUACCUAAAGAGAGUGGACGUUACUCGCAGAAUAAGCACCGGCUAACUCUGUGCCAGCAGCCGCGGUAAUACAGAGGGUGCGAGCGUUAAUCGGAUUUACUGGGCGUAAAGCGUGCGUAGGCGGCUUUUUAAGUCGGAUGUGAAAUCCCUGAGCUUAACUUAGGAAUUGCAUUCGAUACUGGAAAGCUAGAGUAUGGGAGAGGAUGGUAGAAUUCCAGGUGUAGCGGUGAAAUGCGUAGAGAUCUGGAGGAAUACCGAUGGCGAAGGCAGCCAUCUGGCCUAAUACUGACGCUGAGGUACGAAAGCAUGGGGAGCAAACAGGAUUAGAUACCCUGGUAGUCCAUGCCGUAAACGAUGUCUACU
rnacentral:rRNA from 1 species